rnacentral:sRNA from 1 species
CUGAUUCAGUUUCGUCUUCUUACUCGCUCGUGAACUUGGAGAAACGGUUAGUUGGAUUGAUUCUUCCU